ACUGCUCAGUAACACGUGGAUAACCUGCCCUGCGGUGGGAAAUAACUCCGGGAAACUGGGGACAAUGUCCCAUAGGCUACGGAUGCUGGAAUGCCCUGUAGCUCAAAGAUUUAUCGCCACAGGAUGGGUCUGCGGCCGAUUAGGUAGUUGUUGGGGUAACGGCCCAACAAGCCUUUGAUCGGUACGGGUUGUGGGAGCAAGAGCCCGGAGAUGGAUUCUGAGACACGAAUCCAGGCCCUACGGGGCGCAGCAGGCGCGAAAACUUUACAAUGCGGGAAACCGUGAUAAGGGAACUCCGAGUGUCCGUAAAUGCGGACUGUCCGUAUGUUUAAAAAGCAUGCGAAGAAAGGGCCGGGCAAGACCGGUGCCAGCCGCCGCGGUAAUACCGGCGGCUCGAGUGGUGGCCACUAUUACUGGGCUUAAAGCGUUCGUAGCUGGGUUGUUAAGUCUCUUGGGAAAUCUACCGGCUUAACUGAUAGGCGUCCAAGGGAUACUGGCAAUCUAGGGACCGGGAGAGGUGAGGGGUACUUCAGGGGUAGGAGUGAAAUCCUGUAAUCCUUGGGGGACCACCUGUGGCGUAGGCGCCUCACCAGAACGGCUCCGACAGUGAGGGACGAAAGCUGGGGGAGCAAACCGGAUUAGAUACCCGGGUAGUCCCAGCCGUAAACGAUGCGCGUUAGGUGUAUCGAUGACCACGAGUCAUCGAGGUGCCGAAGGGAAACCGUGAAACGCGCCGCCUGGGAAGUACGGUCGCAAGGCUGAAACUUAAAGGAAUUGGCGGGGGAGCAC
rnacentral:rRNA from 1 species